CCGAUAGCGUGUCUCGAGUGAGCUAUGUUUCCAUGAAACAAAGAAGGUUACAGUCUCUGAUGUCUCUCUGGAAGGCUACCCUUCUCCUCUGAAUGGCCUGUGGGUCAAAUUUUGCGAAAAGCACAAACCCAGACAGAAUGCAAGUAGAGUACCUAAGUAGCUGCAGUUCGGAAGAAGCUCUUUACCACACACUGGCAAGAGACGCACUGAUUGUUUCGUUAUGGUCUAAGAUAUUACGAAUGGACUCUUGGAAAGCCCUUUGUUAACAUAGAGAGAGUAUGGUAACAUCAAAAGGUUGGGGAAUGAAACAAUAUCUCCAUUUCUCAACCAGUUGAAAGUGUCCGAUGGUACCUAAAGAAUAUGAUGUCAGAGCAGUUGGUGUCUGGGACAUUAUAUCUUGAUGAUCGGAUCACAUAAAUUGUAUCGGAAAGUCUAUUGGAAAGUCUACACAAUCUAGUUAUCAGAUUCACAUGGAAUUGUUAUGCAAUUGAAACUAUUUGUGAAAGGAUGAAAAAAUGUAAGUUUAGCUUCUAAAUGAGUUGUUUUCAUAAGUAAACUAUGCUCAAUCAGUGGCCACGCCCAAGUGAACAAACAUUGGUUGAGAACUAUGAAACACGCCCUUCUCUGCCACAGUACAAAAGCCCGUCGACAGAAGUCAACCUUAGUUCCAGAUGACGUGAGGAAUGGUGUUCAUAAGUUUAAAAAGGCUAAUUUCAACUACAACCUAACGACAUUUAGUUCCAGAAAUGUUAGGACUGCUGUCUUAACGUUUAAAAGGGCAAUUUUCAAAGUGGAGCUGACGAUCACCACGCUGGAAUGGUGAAUUUUGACUAAACCAGCCAGAAUGCAGCACAAGCUGAUGAUGGGAACUUGGUAUGAACUUUGAGCGAUUAUUCACUAAAGAAGUGAUAUGUUCUAGAUGUCGAGUUAUCAGCUGCAGCUGUAAACGUACUUGGCCUAGAAAAGGACGGACAAUCUCCAAAGAACGACAGGGUACUUUAACGUAUCCACUCUACAACACUACGAGCAGAAAUAUUAAUCAAAGGACAAUGUGGGUCUCUGCUGGGUAAGCCAGUCUUCCUUCUUCGAACCAUCUAUCGAAGGGCAGCUCAGAGUAAAUAGAAAUAUUGCAUUUUCCUUUUCCGAAUGGGCGGGUAUUAGAGUGCAUAAGAUUCUGUAUUUAUGGUAGCAUAGCUUCUUAAGGUCCAAUAGACCCAAUCCCUUCCUUUGUGUAACCAGCAGUCAUAUCGGGUUAGCCCACUGGGGGCUUUUCAUGAUUAGUAAUCGAUGUGUGAUCUAUCCUGUGUAUAUAUAUAUGUAAUUCUGUGUGACUAUUUAGUAAAUAAAUAAUUAAGCUAAUUUGUGUAUUGCUGAUGAAUGCCUCCAUGGUGCCCCAGGUUAUUAAUGGUUUAAUUGUUGCAUGGUUUAAUUCAAUCACAUAAUCAAUUAAACGUUAGGUAAUCGAUUUUAUAAAAUAGCAUGUCAUAUAAUUUAAUCAUAGUCAGACACGGCAGUGUUUAUUAAAAAAAACGACUUCUUUGGAUUCCAGGAUCAUCGCCCAUUUACUCAGUGAUCCUCUACGUAUCAGAAAGCUCUUGAGCACUCUAAAUAAACGUUCAAACGAAGGCUGAGAGCCAGUGCUUUGGAACAGGAUUCAAACUAAAUUCAAUGCCCUGGCAUCACAAUACACUUGACUUAAUUGAGCUACAUAAUCAAUUUUAGGAUGAUUUGGACAUGAAACAUGAAAAAUGCUAAUAUCGGGAUAUUAACUUGCAUUGAAUUUGUACCACAAAUGCAAAAAGUUAGCAUUUGGAGACAUUGGCCUGGUGAGUAACCAAAGUAUGGAUUGCUGUCUUACGAUGCGCACACUUCAAUGAGGCCAAAGUCUGUGUGUUGUUGUGAUCAACACAAUCUCACACUCAAUUCGUGGAAAAAUGUACAAAAAGUAUUUCAGCAGAUUGCAUGUGUUUUUGUGUGGCUUAAUUUGUGUGAAAAUACACACAUUUUUGUGAGACUUAAUUCAUAAGAAAGGACACACAAAAAAUGUGUAACUUCAUUCAUAAGAAAAUGUAUUUUUGGGGGGCAAACUUCAGAACAAUCUUUUGAAAGUUGUUGGAGCAAUGCAUUUUGCGCAAUGGUGUUCUACACUGCCUUUUUUUGUAUCCCACAUUUAUUUAUAUAAAAAAACAAUGGUGUUAAUAACCCAAAAUUGUUAAUCAGCCAGGUUGUCACCGAAAUACAUAUAGUACAAUAGUAGUCUAAUUUAAAAAAAAAAAUAUAUAUAUAUA